UCCCUGGUGGCCCAGUGGUUAGGACUUCAUGCUUUUAUUGCCAGGCUCCAGGUUCAAUCCCUGGUCAGGGAA
rfam:TPA: Bos taurus chromosome 19, whole genome shotgun sequence.